UAUUUUCGGGUUAUCGGUUGCUAUUUUUUUUCAGACGAACAAUAAUAGCCACCGAGCGGAUGAGAGUAAAUCAUUUUCUC
rnacentral:ncRNA from 1 species